GGCUCAGAUUGAACGCUGCGGCAUGCCUUACACAUGCAAGUCGAACGGCAGCGGGCCUUCGGGUGCCGGCGAGUGGCGAACGGGUGAGUAAUGCAUCGGAACGUGCCAUUGAGUGGGGAUAACGUAGCGAAAGUUACGCUAAUACCGCAUAUUCUGUGAGCAGGAAAGCAGGGGACCGCAAGGCCUUGCGCUCUUUGAGCGGCCGAUGUCAGAUUAGCUAGUUGGUGAGGUAAAGGCUUACCAAGGCGACGAUCUGUAGCGGGUCUGAGAGGAUGAUCCGCCACACUGGAACUGAGACACGGUCCAGACUCCUACGGGAGGCAGCAGUGGGGAAUUUUGGACAAUGGGCGCAAGCCUGAUCCAGCCAUGCCGCGUGAGUGAAGAAGGCCUUCGGGUUGUAGAGCUCUUUCGGCCGGGAAGAAAUCGCAUGGGUUAAUACCCUGUGUGGAUGACGGUACCGGAAUAAGAAGCACCGGCUAACUACGUG
rnacentral:rRNA from 1 species